AUUGAACGCUGGCGGCAGGCCUAACACAUGCAAUUCGAACGAGUGGCGGACGGGUGAGUAAUGUCUGGGAAACUGCCCGAUGGAGGGGGAUAACUACUGGAAACGGUAGCUAAUACCGCCUACCAUCGGAUGUGCCCAGAUGGGAUUAGCUAGUAGGUUGGGUAACGGCUCACCUAGGCGACGAUCCCUAGCUGGUCUGAGAGGCUUACUCGACAUAAUGGAACUGAGACACGUUCCAGAAUCCUACGGGAGGCAGCAGUGGGGAAUAUUGCACAAGGGGCGCAAGCCUGAGGCAGCCAUGCCGCGUGUAUGAAGAAGGAUGUCGGGUUGUAAAGUACUGUCAGCGAGGAGGCGUUACGCGCAGAAGAAGCACCGGCUAACUACGUGCCAGCAGCCGCGGUAAUUC
rnacentral:rRNA from 1 species